rfam:Tupaia chinensis contig191985, whole genome shotgun sequence.
GUAGCAUCUUAAAAGCAGCAGCACAUGUACUAAAACUGAAUGAUACAGCGAAGAUUAACAUGGCCUUUGUGCAAGAAUGAUUCAUAAGUUCAUGAAUUGUUUCGUAGUUUU